UACGUAGGGUGCGAGCGUUGUCCGGAAUUAUUGGGCGUAGAGCUCGUAGGCGGCCUGUCGCGUCGGUUGUGAAAGCCCGGGGCUUAACCCCGGGUCUGCAGUCGAUACGGGCAGGCUAGAGUUCGGUAGGGGAGAUCGGAAUUCCUGGUGUAGCGGUGAAAUGCGCAGAUAUCAGGAGGAACACCGGUGGCGAAGGCGGAUCUCUGGGCCGAUACUGACGCUGAGGAGCGAAAGCGUGGGGAGCGAACAGG
rnacentral:rRNA from 1 species